UACGUAGGGACCAAGCGUUGUUCGGAUUUACUGGGCGUAAAGGGCGCGUAGGCGGCAUGACAAGUCACUUGUGAAAUCUCUGGGCUUAACCCAGAACGGCCAAGUGAUACUGUCGCGCUAGAGUGCGGAAGGGGCAAUCGGAAUUCUCGGUGUAGCGGUGAAAUGCGUAGAUAUCGAGAGGAAUACCUGAGGUGAAGACGGGUUGCUAGGCCGACACUGACGCUGAAGCGCGAAAGCCAGGGGAGCAAACGGG
rnacentral:rRNA from 1 species